ACAGUAAUGCUCCGAAAAUUUUCGUGGGAGGCACGCGGCGAAGAUCUAAAGUUUUUCUUGAGGCGGGCAUCUGGUCCGUAGAAGCGAGCUAGCUAGAGCGUGAGGAAGAAGUAGACGCUGCAUUAAAGGGGGUCCGAGAAGCGGAAGAAGAGAAAGCGAGCUAGAGCUAGAGCGAGAGCGAGAGACAUAGGAAACUGAUAGGGUUGGAGGGUCGGAGCAGGCGGGAGAGCGAUCGAGAGAGAAAGCGAGAGGAGUUCGUAGAAAAAGGAACUGGCUUCUCGUUUGGUUGAAGUCAAGACUGUGGUACCGAGCAUCGUGGAUAUGGGUGGAACUGAUUUUGAAGCUGUGACAAAGUGUAUUCAUGAUUUGAAUGGAUUACAUCUUGCUCAACAAAAUGAAAGCCAGGAUUAUGCGAAUAUUGAUUUGUCAAUGGAAGAAAGUAAUGAUAAGAAGCCUUCAUGUUACUCUGAUAAGAACAAGAAAUCCAACUUUCUUCUGCAAGAUGAUGAAGAAGUGCUAGUCGAUUCAACAGUUGAUGAAGUGCGAGGGUCUACAAAGAAGAAGAAGAGAAACAAAUCAAAGAAAAAGAAUGAUCCACUUGAGCGGACUAAUCUACCAUUAUUUCAAUCCCUUCAGCAGAGUGAUCCACCGUCAAUACCUGUUGAUGAAUUAUUUUCAUCAGGGGAAUUUCCUGUGGGUGAAAUUCAGCAAUACAAGGAUGACAACUUGUGGAGGACAACUGCUGAAGAGAAAAGAGAGCUCGAGCGCUUAGAAAAAUCUAUGUACAAUGCUGUUCGUCGAGCCGCUGAAGUUCAUAGACAGGUUAGGAAUUAUAUUCGGAGCAUCCUAAAGCCAGGAAUGUUAAUGAUUGAACUCUGUGAAACCUUGGAAAAUAUGGUUCGGAAACUGAUUAAAGAGAGUGGACUUCAAUCAGGAAUUGCCUUUCCUACAGGGUGUUCUUUGAAUUGGGUUGCAGCUCAUUGGACUCCUAAUUCCGGUGAUAAAACUGUACUUCAAUAUGAUGAUGUGAUGAAGUUGGAUUUUGGAACACACGUUGAUGGACAUAUAGUUGACUGUGCAUUUACUGUUGCAUUUAAUCCCAUGUUUCAUCCGUUACUUGAAGCCUCUAGGGAAGCCACAAACACUGGGAUCAGGGAAUCUGGAAUAGAUGUACGACUCUCAGAUGUUGGUGCUGCAAUCCAAGAAGUUAUGGAGUCUUACGAAGUUGAAAUCAACGGGAAAGUGUUCCAAGUUAAAAGCAUCAGAAAUUUGAAUGGCCAUAGUAUUGGACCUUACCAAAUUCAUGCUGGCAAGUCUGUUCCUAUUGUAAAAGGUGGUGAGCAAACGAAGAUGGAGGAGGGCGAAUUUUAUGCUAUUGAAACUUUUGGCUCAACUGGCAAAGGAUUUGUGAGAGAAGACCUUGAAUGCAGCCAUUACAUGAAAAAUUUUGACGUUGGACACAUACCACUAAGGUUACCCAGAGCAAAACAACUACUUGCUACCAUAAAUAAGCAUUUUUCAACACUGGCAUUUUGCCGGCGCUACUUGGACCGCCUCGGCGAGGCAAAAUAUUUGAUGGCACUGAAGAAUUUGUGUGAUGCUGGUAUUGUUCAGGGCCCUAGCCGUUGGAACUCCUUCCCAUGCAGUUUUUGGUUGUCAGAACUACUCUAUCUGCAAGCCUUAGUUGUUGGAACUCUUUCCUCCAAGAGCUACUUGUAGAAACUUCUGCCCCUGCAGUCCACUAGCCGUUAGAACUCUCUCCCUGCUGGGCCCAGUCGCUGGAACUCCUGUCCUUGUGGGUCCUAGCCCUCGAAACUCGAUGGUUUUUUGCGUGCAGGCCCUCAAUCACCUCAGAUGCAGCAAGAUAACACGGUUUAAUUUUCACCAUGAAACUCAACGAAUCAGUUGCGAAGCCCUUUCGAGGGCAAGAAAAGCAUUGGAGACAUCCAGUUA